ensembl:lncRNA
AAACUGGUGGAUACAACAGAGGAUCGUUUAAAAGGCACUCGGUGAGGGGUCAUACUAAUGUGACACCAAAUGGCAAUUUUCAGAAGCAAUUACACUAUUUUGACCCAUACACUGAAGGUGAGGAAUACUAUGAUUACUCAACCCAAGAUCAAGGAGACUUCUUGCAAGAUGAAAUAUUCUAUGAGGCUCAGAUGGGAUUACAGGAUGGAUACUAUCAAUAUGAAGAUGAAGAAAGAUUUGAUUAUUACGAUCCCUACACUCAGGAAGAUCCCUUUGAAACCUACCAGUACAAUGGGGACUACUAUGAUCCAGGGUAUGAAUAUGAUGAUGAAUAUGAGGAUGGAGACUUUUACGGUGGUGAGAUGUAUCCUGACAUGGAAGAUGUUUAUGGCAUUCAUAGCAAUAAUUUCUAUGAUGAAGACCAAUAUUAUUAUGAUCAUAAUGCUGGGCUUCAGGAUACAGGGGACAUAUAUGAUAACCCUUAUGGAGAUAUUAUGAUGAUGGAAGAGCCUUACUCUGAUCCUUAUGGGGAUCCAUAUUUUCAGGAAUACCAACUCAACUAUACUGAAGGAGAUGUUCACCCAUUCCAAGAGUCUAACUACAGUGCCUACCAACCUUAUAGCUAUGGUGUGGAGGAUUUUUUUGAAGAGGAGGAGAGAGGCAUGGGGGAUUUUGAACUUGCAGGCUACCCAGUAGAGCCUAUGGCUGGAAUGGAGUUUCGAAUGCCCCGUCCACAGGUGAAGCUUUUUGGGAAGGAGCGUAUUGAUGUAGAACUCUUUCCAUCACCCCCAAAUCUCGAGGAACUGUCUGAUAUCCAAUAUGAGAAUCCUCCUUCCUACCAACAGGGGGGAUACAGUAGUGAGAUGUUUCAUCCUCAGGGAUUUCACCCGCAGGAAAUGAUGCCAAUGAUACAAUCUCAGGUCCAUGAUCAAUACCCAAUGAUGCAGUCUCAUAUCCAGCCUCCCAUGAUGCCUCAGGCACCAGUGAUGCAGCCUCAUAUGCAUUCUUCUAUGAUACAGCAGUUGCCAAUGGUGCCACCUACCCAUGCCCAAUCUCAUUUGAUGCAACAGGUACCCACACCCACAGCCAUGCUUAUUAAAAAUGCCAAUAUACCCCAGUCACCUCCCAGAAGCCCUGUUUUGGGACGAUCCCCACAUAUGCCCCUAUCACCCACUCUUAGCCAACGUUCCAUGAGAAUGCCAGGGUCACCUGUUUUACAGAGAAAUAUUUCCCCGAUGGCUCAGCCAGUUGGAUUUGGGGAUCCUUUAAUGAUGCCUCAUUCUCCUGUCCCUCUAAGACAGCCCAGCCCUCAUAGCUCUCCACAGUUAUCUAUGCGACCCAGAGGACCAUUAUCUCCUUUAAGGGCCAGUCCACCUCCCCAACAAAGAGGAAUGUUUUCUUUUCCUUCACCAAGACCAGCUUCCCCCAUGGCUAGAAGAAAAUCAGGCUCCCCUGCAUCCCCCACACCAUCCAGACAUUUUCAUCCCCAGCCCUCUAUGAGGGAGUCUUUCCUGCCUCCACAGGCCCUGUCACCUAGAAGGGCUCCCUCCCUGCGCACCA